rnacentral:rRNA from 1 species
GGAAGCAACGCCGCGUGAGCGAUGAAGGCCUUCGGGUCGUAAAGCUCUGUGUUAGGGAAGACAAGUACCGUUCGAAUAGGGCGGUACCUUGACGGUACCUAACCAGAAAGCCACGGCUAACUACGUGCCAGCAGCCGCGGUAAUACGUAGGUGGCAAGCGUUGUCCGGAAUUAUUGGGCGUAAAGCGCGCGCAGGCGGUUCCUUAAGUCUGAUGUGAAAGCCCACGGCUCAACCGUGGAGGGUCAUUGGAAACUGGGGAACUUGAGUGCAGAAGAGGAAAGCGGAAUUCCACGUGUAGCGGUGAAAUGCGUAGAGAUGUGGAGGAACACCAGUGGCGAAGGCGGCUUUCUGGUCUGUAACUGACGCUGAGGCGCGAAAGCGUGGGGAGCAAACAGGAUUAGAUACCCUGGUAGUCCACGCCGUAAACGAUGAGUGCUAAGUGUUAGGGGGUUUCCGCCCCUUAGUGCUGCAGCUAACGCAUUAAGCACUCCGCCUGGGGAGUACGGCCGCAAGGCUG